rnacentral:rRNA from 1 species
GGUGUUAGACCCGUUGGGGUACAACUCGGCAGUUAUUGAUGUUUCCUAUGAGUCGGAUUGUUUGAGAAUGCAGUCCAAAUUUGGUGGUAAACUCCAUCUAAGGCUAAAUACUUGUAUGAGUCCGAUAGCAAACAAGUACCGUGAGGGAAAGUUGAAAAGAACUUUGAAGAGAGAGUUAAAUAGUACGUGAAAUCGCUUAGAGGUAAACGAGUGGAGCCGAAAACGUUGUACGGGAUUCAGUUGUGUAUGUGAUGAUGAUUGGUUUGGUGAGAUCUCUAAAGGAAUUGCCGGAUCGAUAGUGUUUGUUGCAGACGCGAUGCACUUCCUGUACAGCAAAACUGUGACCAAUAGUGUUGUUUUUCUGUCGUAGUGGUGAAGGUGACCAUUUGCUUGCAAUUGGUUUUAUAGCUCAUUACACGGUUAAAUCUAAUGUAUUGGUGAAUGCGGUUGGUCAAUGUUGGCAAUGUGUUAUAUGUGAGGUUUGGUAGCUGACUACUUGUAGACUGUUAUCAGGUUUUGCGUGUGGCAUCGUUGUUGAUGGAUCAAUCUAAAGUCGCAGUAUAAUGUAGGUUAUCUACUCGUCCCGUCUUGAAACACGGACCAAGGAGUUUUAUAUGAUCGCGAGUCAAAGGGCCAUACGAAACCCCAGGGCGUAAUUAAUGUAAAGGUUUACUUUAGUAAGCUGAGAUGUGACCUGAUUUCCGUCAAAAGAAACAUCAGUGCAACAUCUACCCGUCUGAAGAUGUUCGCAUCUGGGCGGAGUUGGAGCGAUCAUGUAGAGACCCGAAAGAUGGUGAACUAUGCUUGUGCAGGUUGAAGUCAGAGGAAACUCUGAUGGAGGACCGCCGCGGUUCUGACGUGCAAAUCGAUCGUCGGACAUGAGUAUAGGGGCGAAAGACUAAUCGAACCAUCUAGUAGCUGGUUCCCUCCGAAGUUUCCCUCAGGAUAGCUGGCGUUUGAUGUCGUAGUUUUACCUGGUAAAGCGAAUGAUUAGAAGUAUUGGGGGCGAAAUGCCCUCAACUUAUUCUCAAACUUUAAAUGGGUUCGAAGUGUAGCUCGCUUCAUUGGAGUUACACAUUGAAUACGAAUGCCUAGUGGGCCAUUUUUGGUAAGCAGAACUGGCGAUGUGGGAUGAACCAAACAUUUGGUUAAGGUGCCUAACACCACGCUCAUGAGAACCCACAAAAGGUGUUGGUUGGUUAAGACAGCAGGACGGUGGACAUGGAAGUCGUCAUCCGCUAAGGAGUGUGUAACAACUCACCUGCCGAAUCAACCAGCCCUGAAA